rnacentral:rRNA from 1 species
CAAAAACAUAGCCACUUGAAUUUAUAAGUGGUAUUUUCUGCUCAAUGACAAACUUAAAUAGCCGCAGUACCCUGACUGUGCAAAGGUAGCGUAAUCACUUGACUUCUAAUUAAAGUCGCGUAUGAAAGAAUACAUGGGGGUUAACUGUAUCAGUAAUAUAACUUGAAAUUACUUGGCGUGUGCAAACACUCGCAAACAAAUAAUAGACGAGAAGACCCUAGAAAUUUUAAUACUUUUUUGUUGGGGCAACAUAGUAACAAAUAAUUUACAUUAUUUUACACGCAAUUAUUUUGAUAGCGUAAAUUACUCUAGGGAUAACAGCAUAAUAUAUUAAUGUUUGUGACCUCGAUGUUGGAUUAGGGAGUUGAUGUUUAGAAGACUUACAACAAUGCUCUGUUCGAGCA